CUGCUGCCUCCCGUAGGAGUUUGGACCGUGUCUCAGUUCCAAUGUGGGGGACCUUCCUCUCAGAACCCCUACGCAUCGUCGGCUUGGUGGGCCGUUGCCCCACCAACUACCUAAUGCGCCGCACGCCCAUCCAUGACCGGGGUCGCCCCCUUUGACCGGCAGGGGAUGUCCCCUCCCGGCAUUAUGUUGUAUUAGGCGGGAUUUCUCCCGGUUAUCCAUCUGUCACGGCCAGGUUGCAUACGUGUUACUCACCCGUGCGCCGGUCGCCGGCGG
rnacentral:rRNA from 1 species